rnacentral:lncRNA from 1 species
CCUGAGCAUUGCUGGCAAUGCCAUAAAAAGAGAACUCGAGUGGAAGGUCGUUGCAGUUGAUUUUCUUCGAGAGGCUUGCCACGGCUGGUUUUCCUGAUUUGAACUUGGCUGUUCUCAGAGGAAGAGCUUGGGUCCUCGCUGUUGCUGGGAAUGGCUGCUGUUCUCAUCAGGAGAGCCCUGAUCUUCGCUUUGAGAGUUGCCUGCUGACUCCAGUGCAGGUCCUUCAGGAGCUUUGACUGCUUUCUUGCGUCAGUGGAGGGAGCUUCAGUCCUUGUCCUCAUCUUGAACAUCAUCUCCUGGCUUCCAGUGCAGAUCCCUCGGGCUUGUGCCUCAGGUCCUUCACCCUUCUGGCACUGGCCCUUGAGCCUUUCAACCACAGAUUCUUUGGUCUCACAUCGCAGAUUCUUCAGC